rnacentral:rRNA from 1 species
UACCAUGCUGAAUAUACCGGUUCCCGUUAGAUCACCGAAGUUAAGCAUCAUUGGGCGCGGUCAGUACUUGGGUGGGUGACCACCUGGGAACACUGCGUGCCGUU